rnacentral:rRNA from 1 species
CGGGUGGUAAUACCGGAUGCUCCGCUCCAUCGCAUGGUGGGGUGGGAAAUGCUUUUGCGGCAUGGGAUGGGGUCGCGUCCUAUCAGCUUGUUGGCGGGGUGAUGGCCCACCAAGGCGUUGACGGGUAGCCGGCCUGAGAGGGUGACCGGCCACAUUGGGACUGAGAUACGGCCCAGACUCCUACGGGAGGCAGCAGUGGGGAAUAUUGCACAAUGGGCGCAAGCCUGAUGCAGCGACGCCGCGUGCGGGAUGGAGGCCUUCGGGUUGUAAACCGCUUUUGUUCAAGGGCAAGGCACGGUUUCGGCCGUGUUGAGUGGAUUGUUCGAAUAAGCACCGGCUAACUACGUGCCAGCAGCCGCGGUAAUACGUAGGGUGCGAGCGUUAUCCGGAUUUAUUGGGCGUAAAGGGCUCGUAGGCGGUUCGUCGCGUCCGGUGUGAAAGUCCAUCGCCUAACGGUGGAUCUGCGCCGGGUACGGGCGGGCUGGAGUGCGGUAGGGGAGACUGGAAUUCCCGGUGUAACGGUGGAAUGUGUAGAUAU